rnacentral:tRNA from 1 species
GKAAAGUAAGCUAAAUAAGCUAUCGGGCCCAUACCCCGAAAAUGUUGGCUACCCCCCUCCUUUACU